UGGGGAAUAUUGCACAAUGGGGGAAACCCUGAUGCAGCGACGCCGCGUGAGGGAAGAAGGUUUUCGGAUUGUAAACCUCUGUCUUCAGGGACGAUAGUGACGGUACCUGAGGAGGAAGCUCCGGCUAACUACGUGCCAGCAGCCGCGGUAAUACGUAGGGAGCGAGCGUUGUCCGGAAUUACUGGGUGUAAAGGGAGCGUAGGCGGGACAGCAAGUUGAAUGUGAAAUCUAUGGGCUCAACCCAUAAACUGCGUUCAAAACUGUUGUUCUUGAGUGAAGUAGAGGUAGGCGGAAUUCCUAGUGUAGCGGUGAAAUGCGUAGAUAUUAGGAGGAACACCAGUGGCGAAGGCGGCCUACUGGGCUUUAACUGACGCUGAGGCUCGAAAGCGUGGGUAGCAAACA
rnacentral:rRNA from 1 species